GAGAGCUGGCUCUGGUGUCAAUGGCACAGGAGAGCUGGAGUGCACGAAGGGACCAGUCCUGCAGGAUCUCCAUGACACAGGGCAACGAUAGUCCUACCAACUGGAGUGUCUCCUUCCUGAGCAUUCAGCCUACAAUCCCAAGGGACUGAGUUGGCUCCAGUGCAGUAUACAUGGAAGUGGUACUUGCUCUUUGGGGCUUGGCCUCAGAACUAUCCUGGCUCAGGCAAUGUGGGCAGGAGAGAAAAGGCCAGAGGGAUGGUUCUCAGGAGAACACAGUAUGAAGUUGCUUACCUGCAGUCAACAAAAUGUCCUCAGACAUCCACUUCGGGGUGUAUUCCACUGCUACUGUGUAUGCAUUCAGCGAGGCAUCUUAUCUAUGUGACCAUUCAGAUACUAUACACAGGUUCAUACCAAGAAUAUGCUAAAGCAACUGACUAUAUAUACUGUGUCAACUACAUAGCUCUUGAAAGUGUAUGAUUUAGUAACUUCCUAAUCACGAUAUCUUAUAAAGAAAGAGCAGUGUGAUUUUAAAUUUACUGUUUUAAUUAAUUGUCCAGUGUUUAAAAAAAUGAACUGAAGCCUGACUGAUUGUAUAAUUUUAAUAUUUGAAAAUGUACACAAAUAAACUCAACACAAUACAGAUUUAUACAAAAGAAGGACUUCUAAAAACUUAUACAGAAAAAAUAAAUAAUAGGUUUUUAAAAAAAGGACAAGACAUUUUAUAAAUACUAAUAAAUACUGUGCAAUGCUUUAAUUUACUAUGGCAGAUAGAAAAACUCAAGAAAUCAUUAAUAGGUUGUAUAUUUAAAAAGCUACAUGAAUUUUCUAGCUGAUUAAAAUAAAAUGUAACAGUAGUAGUUUUUACUUUUAAAAUGAGGUAUUAUUACAUUGUAAACCAAAACAGAGCAUAAAUAUAUGGUUUAGCAAUUAAUGGUUAUCAACUUCAACUUAAUAAAAGACAACAAAAAUUCCCAUUAUUUAUGGACUUUUGUCACCUAAAAUUUGGCUUGCCUGUGUACUUGCAAAAGUGACAUAGCUACCAAUACACACACAUCGUUAGACAUGCAGACCAAACCAAUACUAUUUCCAUGAGUCAUCCCUAACAAAUAAAAACUUUGUUUACAUUUUACUGAAAACACUUAAAUCUGGUUUCCUAUACAUAAUUCUUUGUGCUUGUUAGUAGGAACCUACAUUAAACAUUUCUACGCAGUGCAAGAGAGAAGCAGUUUUAUUUGCAUAUGGAUUAAAGACAAUAUACACACCAAACCAACUGUACCUUUAGCUGUCUUAGGCUUCCCACGAUUUAAAGAACAACUACCCUUCUGGUAAACUCACAUGGGAAAGUAGUCAUUUGCAGUCUCAAGCGUUACAGGAAGGAAGCUGGGUUUUCUAACACGGGUGGGUGGGCUUCGGAACUAUAGGACGCUGAUGAGUUACUGCACCCUUGAAUUCUGCUGGUUGGGUGCAGAAAGCACAGCGACAAGGAAAUGCCUAGCUCAGGGGAGCCUCGGGCCAAGUAUGAUUUGCACAUGGGCCAUAUGCUGGUACUAAAUGCUGGUUUCAUUCUUAUUGCAAAUGUCACUUCAGAGUUUUCUGAAGAAAAACUAUCAAAGAAUAAUUCUUGAGAUGAAAAUAUUUGUGACAUGCUAAUAAAACUGCUUCACUAUAAAUUAAAACAAAACAAAACAAAACAAAACAAAAAUCCCUGGGGCUUAAAAAUACAGUUUUUACAUGCUAUUUUAUUAUAAAUAGAAAACAAGGAUACUUUUGGAUUUACUAUAUUUAGAAUCCAGUGAAAAACACACAUUUUAGCCAAAAUGUCAAACUUCUUUUUUAUAUCAAGCUACAUCAUUUUGACAUAAAUGUUUUUAAUUGUAUUUCACUUUUGUCAAAUAUCCUACAUUUUCCAAAAAUUAGUGUUUUCAUAUAACUGGUGAUCAAAAAUUGUAGAUAUAAGCAGUACAUCAAAAUAUAUAAAAUAGCAGGGCUUCUUUUGUGCUUGUAAUUAUUUUAAGUAAUCAAUGACUAGUUUGGUCUAGUUUGCUCUACUAUAUUGAUUUUUAAGAAGAAAUAACCAUUAUACAAACAUUACAGAAUACUCAAGUAACCAAUUUACUGUCAGUGGGCAUGCAGACUAACAAUACUUAAAAGAAUAUAACCUUGAAUCCAAUUGGUCUGAAAAUACUCUUGUACAAUCAUCUUUGUUGAUUUGUAAAAGCUGUACACACAUCUAAAACCCUAAAUUUACUUUGUAAAAAUAAAUCUUUAGCAAUAAAUGGCACUAU
ensembl:processed_transcript 1500017E21Rik RIKEN cDNA 1500017E21 gene